GGACUACACGGGUUUCUAAUCCCGUUCGCUCCCCUGGCUUUCGCGCCUCAGCGUCAGGAGGGAUCCAGCAGCUCGCUUUCGCCACCGGCGUUCCUUCCGAUAUCUACGCAUUUCACCGCUCCACCGAAAGUUCCAGCUGCCCCUAUCCCGCUCGAGACCGCCAGUCUCAAAGGCACUUCCCCGGUUGGGCCGGGGGCUUUCACCCCUGACUUGGCGGUCCGCCUACGCGCCCUUUAAGCCCAGUGAAUCCGAACAACGUUCGCACGGUUCGUCUUACCGCGGCUGCUGGCAC
rnacentral:rRNA from 1 species